ACAAGCGGUGGAGUAUGUGGUUUAAUUCGAUGCAACGCCGAAGAACCUUACCUGGUCUUGACAUCCCGGAGACCCUUAGGAAACUAGGGGGUGCCUUCCAUCUGGAAGAAUCUGGAGACAGGUGCUGCAUGGCUGUCGUCAGCUCGUGUCGUGAGAUGUUGGGUUAAGUCCCGCAACGAGCGCAACCCUUGCCUUUAGUUGCCAGCAGUUCGGCUGGGCACUCUAAAGGGACUGCCGGUGUUAAACCGGAGGAAGGUGGGGAUGACGUCAAGUCCUCAUGGCCUUUAUGACCAGGGCUACACACGUACUACAAUGGCCGAUACAAAGGGCAGCGACACUGCGAGGUGAAGCCAAUCCCGUAAAAUCGGCUCAGUCCGGAUUGGAGUCUGCAACUCGACUCCAUGAAGUUGGAAUCGCCAGUAAUCGCGCAUCAGCCAUGGCGCGGUGAAUACGUUCCCGGGCCUU
rnacentral:rRNA from 1 species